rnacentral:sRNA from 1 species
AAUAGUCACAUGACACGUUUCCCGUCAAGAUGGCGGAUACUCUCCCUUCGGAGUUUGAUGUGAUCGUAAUAGGGACGGGUUUGCCUGAAUCCAUCACUGCAGCUGCAUGUUCAAGAAGUGGCCGGAGAGUUCUGCAUGUUGAUUCGUAAGUUUAUCAACGAUAGCAUUUAAUACUUCCUAAAUAUCUCUAUACAAGAUUAAAAUUUACAUAAACACAUAUAUGUCUGUACAUAUGUACAUGUAUGUAUAUAUCAUACAUAAACUUAAGUUAGAAAAAAGAUUGGAGUUGUUUAAUUUUAACCACUAAUAUGUGAAAUAUAUAGCAUACAAGUUUUACUAUUCUGUGAAAUAGUGAUCUUUCCUUUGAGAAUAAACCAAAUGCAUCAUUUUAUUUUUCUCAUGAGUGAUUUUGUUUAAAAUAACAAGUAAUUCUCCAAGAGGCUUGGAAACCUCAUGCCUGCCCCUUUUCCUACAUAUGUGUGUGGGUAUAUACAACCUAUAUAUGCUAUUGUAUUUUAGGCUUCAUAUUCGAUGGUUGUAAAAGUCAGCCAAUAGAUUUUGAGUAUUAUUUUCUUAAACUUCAUCAAAAUUAAACUUAGGAAGUCUUAACUAGGAAAAAUAUCUACAAUGAUGUUUUUCCCUUUCUUUCUUAAAUGUGAUGAUAAACAGGAGGUUGAUGGAA